UACGUAGGGUGCGAGCGUUGUCCGGAAUUAUUGGGCGUAAAGGGCUCGUAGGCGGUUUGUCGCGUCGGGAGUGAAAACCUUGGGCUUAACUCAGGGCUUGCUUUCGAUACGGGCAGACUAGAGGUAUGCAGGGGAGAACGGAACUCCUGGUGUAGCGGUGAAAUGCGCAGAUAUCAGGAGGAACACCGGUGGCGAAGGCGGUUCUCUGGGCAUGAUCUGACGCUGAGGAGCGAAAGUGUGGGGAGCGAACAGG
rnacentral:rRNA from 1 species